rnacentral:rRNA from 1 species
UACGUAGGGUGCAAGCGUUGUCCGGAUUUAUUGGGCGUAAAGAGCUCGUAGGCGGCUUGGCAAGUCGGGUGUGAAACCUCCAGGCUCAACCUGGAGACGCCACUCGAUACUGCCAUGGCUAGAGUCCGGUAGGGGACCACGGAAUUCCUGGUGUAGCGGUGAAAUGCGCAGAUAUGAGGAGGAACACCGGUGGCGAAGGCGGUGGUCUGGGCCGGCACUGACGCUGAGGAGCGAAAGCGUGGGUAGCAAACAGG